AACGAACGUUGGCGGCGUGGAUGAGGCAUGCAAGUCGAACGCGAAAGCCGCAAGGCGAGUAAAGUGGCGGACGGGCGAGUAACACGUAAUCAAGCUACCUGCGAGACGGGGAUAACUUCGGGAAACCGAAGCUAAGACCCGAUGGUCUUCUAGGAACGCAUGUUCCAUGAAGUAAAUGGGCGGGAUCCUCCGGGAUCGCCUGCUCGCAGAGGUGAUUGCGGCCCAUCAGCUAGUUGGUAGGGUAAUGGCCUACCAAGGCAACGACGGGUAGCCGGCCUUAGAGGGUGGUCGGCCGCACUGGGACGUGAGACACUGCCCACGACUCCUACGGGAGGGCUGCAGUCGAG
rnacentral:rRNA from 1 species